AGGCCUGUCAAAGAACAAAAGAUGAGAUUACUGGGGCGGCAAGGUGCCCCAAACGGCCUGGGAACUGCGCCUCCGCACUUCCUGUUAACUUGCCGCCAAGUUUUUCUAGAGGAGUCGCUCCUUUUGGCCGGGUAGAUCUACUGGGUUCUUGGCACAGUACCAUAUGGACCUGGACAAAGCAUUGUUAAGAUUGUAACCAAUGUGAAGAUUGUCAGAAUUCACAGAAGCACAACAUACGGCCUACCGGGGCUUUACUCUCGUGCGACUGAACAAGCAAAAUCUUUGGGCUUCAGUUUUUCAUCAUCUAUUACAUGAUGCUAAUAUUCCCCUUUACAUUUCUUAAAAAUUCUCAAAUGAGAGGAGUGCCUAGGUGGCUCAGUCAGGUAAGUGUCUGACUCUUGAUUUCAGCUCAGG